rnacentral:rRNA from 1 species
UACGUAGGUGGCAAGCGUUAUCCGGAUUUACUGGGUGUAAAGGGCGUGUAGGUGGGCGCUUAAGUCAGGUGUGAAAACUCCGGGCUCAACCUGGAGACUGCACUUGAAACUGGGUGUCUUGAGGGCAGGAGAGGAAAGUGGAAUUCCUAGUGUAGCGGUGAAAUGCGUAGAUAUUAGGAGGAACACCAGUGGCGAAGGCGACUUUCUGGACUGUACCUGACGCUGAGGCGCGAAAGCGUGGGUAGCGAACGGG